CAGUCGCCGCGGUAAUACGUAGGGGGCUAGCGUUGUUCGGAAUUACUGGGCGUAAAGCGCACGUAGGCGGAUCUUUAAGUCAGGGGUGAAAUCCCGAGGCUCAACCUCGGAACUGCCUUUGAUACUGGAGAUCUUGAGUUCGGAAGAGGUUGGUGGAACAGCUAGUGUAGAGGUGAAGUUCGUAGAUAUUAGCUAGAACACCAGUGGCGAAGGCGGCCAACUGGUCCGAUACUGACGCUGAGGUGCGAAAGCGUGGGGAGCAAACAGGAUUAGAUACCCCAGUAGUCCCUGUCUCUUAUAC
rnacentral:rRNA from 1 species